rnacentral:rRNA from 1 species
AUUGAACGCUGGCGGCAGGCUUAACAAAUGCAAGUCGAACGAGUGGAGGACGGGAGAGUAAUGCUUGGGAAUCUAGCUUAUGGAGGGGGAUAACACCGGGCAAAAGUAGAUAAUACCGCGUACCAAAGGCUGAGACCAAGUGGGAUUAGGUAGUUGGUGAGGUAAAGGCACACAAAGCAGACGAUCUCUAGCUGGUCUGCGAGGAUGACCAGACACGCGUGGACUGAGACACGGCCCAGACUCCGACGGGAGGCAGCAGUGGGGAAGAUUGCGCAGUGGGGGCAACCUGACGCAGCCAUGCCGCGUGAAUGAAGAAGGCCUUCGGGGUGUAAAGUUCUUGCGGUAGCGAGGCGUUAACUACAGAAGAAGCACCGGCUAACUCCGUGCCAGCAGCCGCGGGAAUAC